rnacentral:rRNA from 1 species
CAGUCGCCGCGGGAACACGAAGGGUGCAAGCGUUACUCGGAAUUACUGGGCGUAAAGCGUGCGUAGGUGGUGGUUUAAGUCCGUUGUGAAAGCCCUGGGCUCAACCUGGGAAUUGCAGUGGAUACUGGGUCACUAGAGUGUGGUAGAGGAUAGUGGAAUUUCCGGUGUAGCAGUGAAAUGCGUAGAGAUCGGAAGGAACAUCUGUGGCGAAGGCGACUAUCUGGGCCAACACUGACACUGAGGCACGAAAGCGUGGGGAGCAAACAGGAUUAGAUACCCCAGUAGUCCCUGUCUCUUAUAC